CCAACCGAAGCAACACAAACUGCGAACGGCUGUUGUCGACGCGGUCUCAGUUUACUGUUAGCAGUCGGGAAAAUCGCACCGAAUGAGAAGGCAAAGCUGUUUUAGCAUCGUCGUCACACUCCGUCGCCGUUCGUGUCGUGUCACACACUCUCUACCAAAGCCAACCCUCCCGUCAUCGUCACCGUCAUCCCCGCACGUGUGUCACCGUACCCGUUCACGUUAGUUUCGCGCCGCGUCGCACACAACCAUUCAAGCCAGGCACACGGGCUCCAUACAGUGGGUUUGUCCAGUAAUGCUUUAGCAACAAUCACAAAAAAGGCAAAAAUUAGAGGAAAAAAGUUAAACAUUGAAAUCGAUUUCAAGUGUGCAGCUUGCGUUGUGGUGAAGCUCAAAGCAUGAUAACAAGUUUCGUUAACAAGUGUGUGGAGUGAAAUGUUUUGUGAUUGUGUCGUUACUUGGUUUUAAUAAUUGAUUAACGAAAGAAAAGUAAGCGAUAAAAACUUAGUUUCUAUCCAAAAAAAGUUGCAUCGGAGAUAAGUUCAAAUUACAAAGCGAAAACCAAAUAAUUUUGAUACAAAGAAAAACAGUGUUUUUAAAGCUUAAAAAGCAAA